ACCGAAGCUAGAAGAGGGGUUUUCUCUCUUAAUCACCUUGUUCGUGACACCAGACUGAUUACUUCAUUUAAAAAAAGGACCCAGGAUAUAACAGGAGAAGAUGAUCUGCAGGAUCCUUCUGCUCAUCAGCCUGACCUCCUGUGUCUCUGGAACAUUUGUAGUGAAAGUGACACAGACCUCCUAUCAGGCAAAGGAGAACCACAACAUCACACUGGAGUGGACCUUUACAACUAAUCCUAACAGUUCCUCCACCUCACUGAACAUCUUCUGUCAAAUGUUCACUAGUAAAAAGGACCCAGUCGUGUAUCAUGUAGAUCAGGGUGUUGAGGUCCCAGACUCUCAGGAUGAACAGUUUAAAGGACGAGUUCACUGUGACA